rnacentral:misc_RNA from 1 species
UCAAACUUGGUCAUUUAGAGGAAGUAAAAGUCGUAACAAGGUCUCCGUUGGUGAACCAGCGGAGGGAUCAUUAGAGAGUUAUCCGUAACCUCCAACCCGUGUGAACUUACCGUCAUCGUUGCCUCGGCGGCGCUCGUGCGAGCGCCGCCGGCGGCCCAGCAACCUCUGUUAUUUUGUGAAUCUGAGCCUAAAAAAACAAAUUGGAAAUUAAAACUUUCAACAACGGAUCUCUUGGCUCUGGCAUCGAUGAAGAACGCAGC